ACACCCACACACGCCAGGAUAUUACGAGCUCAAGCUUAAAAUCCAAAGGACUUGACGGUGUUCCACCCAUCUAGAGGAGCCUGUUCUUUAAUCGAUACUCCCCGCUUUACCUCACCAUUUCUUGCUUCUUCAGCCUGUAUACCUCCGUCGCAAACUUGCCCUAUGAAUGACACACAGCAAGUUCAAUGGCCCCCACCAAUACGUCAGGUCAAGGUGCAGCCCAUGAAAUGGGAAGCAAUGGGCUACAAUUUCUAACUUAGAACACACGAACUAUCACUUGAAACAGUGAUCAUGAAGGUGGAUUUAGUAGUAAAGAGAAAUUAUAGCGUUCUCUUUAAUUAGGCCCUGGAACGUGUACAAACCGCCCGUCACCCUCUUCGAUAGCAUAUUAAACAUUUUCAUAAACCACUACAAGCACCUUAGAAGAGGUAAGUCGUAACAUGGUAAGUGUACUGGAAAGUGCACUUGGAAUAA
rnacentral:rRNA from 1 species